UUGUCCAUAAGAUCAUAUGGUAUUCCAUGGUUUAGCAGCUGAUAUUACAAAUAUCAAGAGUUAUAACGACCCAUUUUUAAAAAAAGUAUGAAAGGAAAAUGAUGUUUUCGAAGCUAGGUAUAUAAUAUUUAUUGCGUCAUUUCAUAGUUAAUAAUAACAAAUAUAUAUAUAUAUAUAUAUAAUUCAAGUUUUUCAUAUUUUAUACACCAACAAAGUUUGAGCAAAGAACAUCUAAGCUAUCAUCUCAGGAUUAGGACAUGGUGGAUAGUUGCUAACCUUUGUCCCAAAAGUUGGACCCUUCGUACCACGAAACACCUUCUUCAAGUAUCCUUUCUCCAACCCUAGAUUCUCACACAGCAAAUCCAACAGUUCUUCCGCUAGGUUCUCUAGCCUCUUCCCAAAAUCCUUCAUAGCCGUUCUGUGUUUUAAAGAAACAUGGCAAGCAAAUCAAUGGUUUAUUUUAAUAAGAUCGUUGGAGAUGUGAUUUAAGGGUGAAAGAAAUGUUUGUGUGUGUACCGGUAUUCGUCUGACAUGUUAGGGAUGUCAUAAAGAUUGGUCUGAGGGAGAUGAUGAAGGAAGAAAGUGCUUUCCCAAUCUAUAUCUUCCACUUCGGUCUCGAGAGUAUCUAAACCUUUGGAACGAAGCAUUUCCUUGAAUUUGUGUUCCAUAAAUUGCUUGUAGUGUUCCUUUGUCAUCCUCUCAAUGUUGUCCAUAAGAUCAUAUGGUAUUCCAUGGUUUAGCAGCUGAUAUUACAAAUAUCAAGAGUUAUAACGACCCAUUUUUAAAAAAAGUAUGAAAGGAAAAUGAUGUUUUCGAAGCUAGGUAUAUAAUAUUUAUUGCGUCAUUUCAUAGUUAAUAAUAACAAAUAUAUAUAUAUAUAUAUAUAUAUACCAACAAAGUUUGAGCAAAGAACAUCUAAGCCGUUAUAUUAUUAUAUUUUCUUUGAUUGUAAACAAAAAAAGGACGAGUAGAGAGACGAUAACCUCAAAGAAUCCCCAGUUUUGGCAAGCAUCGUCGAUCAAAGCCAUGGUUUGGUCUCUCUCUUCACCAUUGAGCUUAGAUAGGUCUAUAACAGGAAACUUGAUGUUCUUCUCCAUUACUCUGGAUGUAAACUUGUAAAGUCACUGUUUUUUAACUCGCAACUUAAUGUUUUUGAUGAUGUUUGUUAAAUGUGAGUUGAGGAAUUGAGAGAGGGUCGCUAUUUAUAGGCGCAAAUAGUAAAAUAAAGUUCUUAAAUAUAUACAUACAUACAUGUAAGACGAUAGGUACGUAUCAUCAUACGAUUAUAUAAUUGUGCCAUUUAGAUAAAGUUGCUAGACAUUAUAUUUGUUUUCUUUUUCAUUACAAGAAAAGAAAAGGAGUUAUGAAAGCCGGUUUACAAAAAAAAAAGAAAAGAAAAGGAGUUUGUGGAAGUUGUAUACGAAGGUGUGUAUGUAUGUGCAACAUAAUUGGUGGUACCCUACACUCUUCUUUUUUGAGAUGGGAUAAACUAGGUGUUUUCCAUUUCGAUUCAGUAUGAAAGGAAAAUGAUGUUUUCGAAGCUAGGUAUAUAAUAUUUAUUGCGUCAUUUCAUAGUUAAUAAUAACAAAUAUAUAUAUAUAUAUAUAUAAUUCAAGUUUUUCAUAUUUUAUACACCAACAAAGUUUGAGCAAAGAACAUCUAAGCUCGUUAUAUUAUUAUAUUUUCUUUGAUUGUAAACAAAAAAAGGACGAGUAGAGAGACGAUAACCUCAAAGAAUCCCCAGUUUUGGCAAGCAUCGUCGAUCAAAGCCAUGGUUUGGUCUCUCUCUUCACCAUUGAGCUUAGAUAGGUCUAUAACAGGAAACUUGAUGUUCUUCUCCAUUACUCUGGAUGUAAACUUGUAAAGUCACUGUUUUUUAACUCGCAACUUAAUGUUUUUGAUGAUGUUUGUUAAAUGUGAGUUGAGGAAUUGAGAGAGGGUCGCUAUUUAUAGGCGCAAAUAGUAAAAUAAAGUUCUUAAAUAUAUACAUACAUACAUGUAAGACGAUAGGUACGUAUCAUCAUACGAU
rnacentral:lncRNA from 1 species